GGGGUUGUGCCUGAAAAAGGGUCACUUUGAUAGAGUGAAUUAUGGGGGUUAAAGUCCUCCCAGCCCCU
rnacentral:tRNA from 2 species